rnacentral:misc_RNA from 1 species
UAAAAUGCGAUAAGUAGUGUGAAUUGCAGAAUUCAGUGAAUUAUUGAAUCUUUAAACGCACAUUGCGCCCUUUAGUAUUCCUUAGGGCAUGCCUGUUUGAGUGUUAUCUAAACCUUUAAGCACUGCUUAGUGUUGGGUGCCUGUCCUGCCCCCGCGCGUGGACUCACCUUAAAUCUAUUAGUGGCCCUUAUGUUGGCUUUAAGCGCAGCAGAAACGCGAACUCAAGGCCCAUCAGAGCGGCUCCUAGAAGCUACAUUUACUAUUUUAACCUUAGAUUAGGUAGGGAUACCUGCUGAACUUAA